CUUGGUCAUUUAGAGGAAGUAAAAGUCGUAACAAGGUUUCCGUAGGUGAACCUGCGGAAGGAUCAUUAUUGAGCCCUGCCCUCACGGGUAGACCUCCAACCCUGUGUAUUUAUACCUUUGUUGCUUCGGCAGGCCGUCUAGGUUUCGGCCUGGCUAUGGGCUUCGGCUCGUAAGCGCCUGCCAGAAGACAUUCAAACUCUGUAAUCAAUGUCGUCUGAGUAAAAUUUAAUAAGUUAAAACUUUCAACAACGGAUCUCUUGGUUCUGGCAUCGAUGAAGAACGCAGCGAAAUGCGAUAAGUAAUGUGAAUUGCAGAAUUCAGUGAAUCAUCGAAUCUUUGAACGCACAUUGCGCCCUUUGGUAUUCCGAAGGGCAUGCCUGUUCGAGCGUCAUUACAACCCUCAAGCUCUGCUUGGUAUUGGGCCUCGCUAGUAAUAGCGUGCCUUAAAAUCAGUGGCGGUGCCGUCUGGCUCUAAGCGUAGUAAUUUUUUCUCGCUCUGGACGUCAUAUGGAUACUUGCCAUUAACCCCCAAUUUUUAAAGGUUGACCUCGGAUCAGGUAGGGAUACCCGCUGAACUUAAGCAUAUCAAUAAGCGGAGGAAAAGAAACCAACAGGGAUUACCUCAGUAACGGCGAGUGAAGCGGUAACAGCUCAAAUUUGAAAUCUGCCUACAGGCCGAGUUGUAAUUUGUAGAAGAUGCUUCGGGUGUGGCUCCGGUCUAAGUUCCUUGGAACAGGACGUCAUAGAGGGUGAGAAUCCCGUAUGUGACUGGAUGCCUAUGCUCAUGUGAAGCUCUUUCGACGAGUCGAGUUGUUUGGGAAUGCAGCUCAAAAUGGGUGGUAUAUUUCAUCUAAAGCUAAAUAUUGGCCAGAGACCGAUAGCGCACAAGUAGAGUGAUCGAAAGAUGAAAAGCACUUUGGAAAGAGAGUUAAACAGUACGUGAAAUUGUUGAAAGGGAAGCGCUUGCAACCAGACUUGCACGCUGUUGAUCAUCCAGGCUUCUGUUUGGUGCACUCAACUGUGUUCAGGCCAGCAUCGGUUUUGGUGGUGGGAUAAAGGCCUUGGGAAUGUAGCUUCUUUCGGGGAGUGUUAUAGCCCUCGGUGCAAUGCCGCCUACCGGGACCGAGGACCGCGCUUCGGCUAGGAUGCUGGCGUAAUGGUUGUAAGCGACCCGUCUUGAAACACGGACC
rnacentral:rRNA from 1 species